UACAGAGGGUGCGAGCGUUAAUCGGAAUUACUGGGCGUAAAGCGCACGUAGGUGGCGUCGUAAGUCGGGUGUGAAAGCCCCGGGCUCAACCUGGGAAUUGCAUUCGAGACUGCAUUGCUAGAGUACGGAAGAGGAAGGCGGAAUUCCCGGUGUAGCGGUGAAAUGCGUAGAUAACGGGAGGCACAUCAGUGGCGAAGGCGGCCUUCUGGUCCAGUACUGACACUCAAGUGCGAAAGCGUGGGGAGCAAACAGU
rnacentral:rRNA from 1 species